UAGAUUAAUAAUAAAUUAAUUUCGACUUAAUUUUAGAUAUAUAAAAUAUCUAAUCUUU
rnacentral:tRNA from 1 species